rnacentral:rRNA from 1 species
GUACACACCGCCCGUCGCUAUUACCGAUUGAGUGUAAAGGUGAACCUUCUCGAUAGACGCAAGUUUAGAAAUCAAGUAAACCUUUGCACUUAGAGGAAAUAAAAGUCGUAACAAGGUUUCCGUAGGUGAACCUGCAGAAGGAUCA